rnacentral:snoRNA from 1 species
CUGCAUCUCUGACAGACCUGGAGCUGUUAAUGUCUGCUGCUAAGGUUUCUACUAUAGAUGCAAGAAAAAGACGGUCCUUGUGCUUUCUGUCUCUCUGAUUGUGGCAGCCAAGAUUAAAUGGAGGAAGACAGGA